rnacentral:lncRNA from 1 species
AAAGGAUAUAAUUCUUCCAAAGAACAACUGGCAACAGCUGGCACAACUUCUGAAGACCCAGUCUGACUCUGUCUUGAAAAUCAGCCUCAGAAUCAGAAUUACCCCCACCUAUACCAGGACUAUCUCACUCACUAGCCACACUUAAUGACAUAAUACCUGCAGUCAACUUUCAGUAUAGAUUUAAUCAUUACCAUUAAUAUUUCAUAAGACCAACAAAAUAGUAUUUGUACCUCAGGACAACUGGCUAUUAGUGAAGGUAUGAAAAUCACAGAUAGCUCCCCUGUUCUUUAGUAACCCCACAUGAAAUUAUUAUCAAAUAUGUUUCCAGUCUUUAGAAUAAUUUAGUUAUUAGAAAAGCUGAUUGGACAAAAUAGCAAAAAUUUGGAGGUUUUGUAUUGCUACUAACAACGGGCAAAUCAGAACAGAGUUAAUACAUCUUUUCUCCCGUUACCCAGCAUUCAAAGCUACAGCUGUAGCCACAUUAUAAUUUUAGACUCCAAAGCAGUGUGACGAUUUGAUGCAUAAUUUUCAACACAUGUUUUAUUAAUCCAUUCUUCCUGUGCUUCAUUUAAAAGCCUGGAAACUAUAAAAAAAAAAAAAAAAGAUCAGCGUGUUACUCCUUUGCCAGGAAAAAAAAAAAAAGAGAAAGAAAAAAGAACCUAACAAACACGUUAAAAAAAAAAAAAAAGCCAGAGCAAAUGGAAUCUCAGUUUUGAGGAAACACAUGGGAUUGAAGCAUCCGCCGCAACUCUGUAACCAACUGUCACAUGUGACUCUUCCCCUCUGCGCUGAAUCCUGCGUGUCACCAGGAUGGAGCGAGGCCGUGCUUGCAGGAUUCCACAUGGACAGCAAGAGUACAGCACGGGAGGUCUCCACCUGCGGCCCAUGGACCACUUGUGUGGAGAGUGGCUGGGAUAUGUGGCAAAAAUGCAGGUUCUUAGACCCCACUCCAAACCACACACUCAGAAUGUCUUGUGGUGGGGCCCCGAAAUCCAUCUUAUUAGGCAGCCCAUCAGAGAUGCCUAUGAACACUUAAGUUUGAAUACUACUGUCCAGAGGGUGAGGGUGGGAGACAUAUUCUGCGAAGGCCCCAGGAAGAAUCCUUACGGUGGAAAAUACUUCAGUUCUCAAAUUGAUUUUGAAGUUCUGUUACCAGGCAACCAUAUUUCUAAAAUUGGUUUUAUGUACAAUAUUGCUUAACUGUAUAUUAAUGGAAAUAUUUUUUUAAUUAAAAACCUGGGUAUAAAAUAAAAUGUCGUUGGGGCGCCUGGGUGGCUCA